UACGGGGGGUGCAAGCGUUGUUCGGAAUUACUGGGCGUAAAGCGCGUGUAGGCGGCCCUGCAAGUCAGAUGUGAAAGCCCUCGGCUUAACCGGGGAAGUGCAUCUGAAACUGCUUGGCUUGAGUACUGGAGAGGAAGGCGGAAUUCCCAGUGUAGAGGUGAAAUUCGUAGAUAUUGGGAGGAACACCGGUGGCGAAAGCGGCCUUCUGGACAGAUACUGACGCUGAGACGCGAAAGCGUGGGGAGCAAACAGG
rnacentral:rRNA from 1 species